rnacentral:rRNA from 1 species
CUACGGGAGGCAGCAGUAGGGAAUCUUCCACAAUGGGCGAAAGCCUGAUGGAGCAACGCCGCGUGGGUGAAGAAGGUCUUCGGAUCGUAAAACCCUGUUGUUAGAGAAGAAAGUGCGUGAGAGUAACUGUUCACGUUUCGACGGUAUCUAACCAGAAAGCCACGGCUAACUACGUGCCAGCAGCCGCGGUAAUACGUAGGUGGCAAGCGUUAUCCGGAUUUAUUGGGCGUAAAGGGAACGCAGGCGGUCUUUUAAGUCUGAUGUGAAAGCCUUCGGCUUAACCGGCGUAGUGCAUUGGAAACUGG